rnacentral:rRNA from 1 species
CGCGCAGGCGGUUAUACAAGCCUGGUGUGAAAGAUCGCAGCUCAACUGAGGGACCGCACUGGGAACUGUAUGACUGGAGUUCAAGAGGGGAAGCUGGAAUUCCUGGUGUAGGGGUGAAAUCUGUAGAUAUCAGGAAGAACAUCAGUGGCGAAGGCGAGCUUCUGGCUAUGAACUGACGCUGAGGCGCGAAAGCGUGGGGAGCAAACAGGAUUAGAUACCCUGGUAGUCC